rnacentral:lncRNA from 1 species
ACACAUUGUCUCUUUUUUUCCCAACCUACAAAUGAUCGAGGUAGGAAAUGGCGUCGUCCAACCACACCGGCGUGAUCUCGCGCAUGGCGCAGGGUUUGUCUUGGCCGGCCUGGCGCACAAGGGCCUCUGACAAGAGACGCUCGACUUCGGUCGCGACGACGACGCAGGGCGAGGCGGGGUCAUCUCUGUCAUUGUCACUUCUGCAUGUCCGCCCUGCCAAAUCCUGUGCAACCUCGUCGCCAUCCAUGUGGGAACGCACAUAGACGGGCGGCAUGUCCAUCACGUCCGUCCAACGCAUAAAGCGUGUCUGGUGGUCGCCACUUCCGUGGCAAAGGCAAGAGUCGGCGGAACCGGCGCUGGAGCGCCAACGGAUCUCGUUGGUCGAUUCCAUGGCCUCGACAAGGUCGACACUGCCGGCAUGUUUGGCAGACGCCCGACCCAGACUGUGGUAGCCGGCCGCGGCAACUGUGCCCUUGGGCGGCUCCCAGCGCGCUGCCAAACACGCCACGGGCAUGGCCACGCGGACGUGGUCGCGCUCCAACCACGCACGGCCCGUGGGCACGACGACCUCGAUGCUUGGACCGAAAAAGGCGGCGGCCUCUCGUGGUGCCGACACGCCCUUGCGAGCAGCCUCGUCGCGGUGCUCAAAGACUGCCCUGUCAAUGGGCACCACAAGCAGUACCCUGCCCGCCGUGAGUGCUGCAUAGUCGCGCGACCGCAAUACCAACCCUCGCCUGUGGGCCAAGGCCAACCAGUCGCGCCAUUCGAGUGCAGUGUCUUUUUGAUCCUGAUCGUCAAUUGUAUUAUUGACAACUAGAACAGGGACCUCCAUCGCGCUCGCCGGCCUGUCCGCCCUUGCCCCACUGACCGACCAGUACCAGUUUCCACUCUCUGACUCUAAAGUGCCCG